rnacentral:pre_miRNA from 1 species
AUCGUACUCCCUCUGUCUAACAAAAUAUGUCUCAAAGUUUGUCAAAAUUUGGAUAUAUCUAGAUAUGAUUUAGUAUAUAGAUGCAUUCAAAUUUCGUCAAAGUGAAGACAUCUUUUGUUGGACUGAGGAAAUACAAG